rnacentral:rRNA from 1 species
AGAGUUUGAUCCUGGCUCAGAGCGAACGCUGGCGGCGUGCUUAACACAUGCAAGUCGAGUGCGCGCCUGUAGCAAUACAGGUGGCGCACGGCGCACGGGUGCGUAACACGUGGGUAAUCUGCCCUUCGAUGGGGAAUAACUCGCCGAAAGGCGAGCUAAUUCCGCAUAACAUUCCGAGGACUAUGGUUCUUGGAUUCAAAGGCGUAAGUCGUCGGAGGAGGAGCCCGCGCACGAUUAGCUAGUUGGUGAGGUAAUGGCUCACCAAGGCUAUGAUCGUUAGCUGGUCUGAGAGGAUGGCCAGCCACACUGGAACUGAGACACGGUCCAGACUCCUACGGGAGGCAGCAGUGGGGAAUCUUGCACAAUGGGCGAAAGCCUGAUGCAGCGACGCCGCGUGGGGGAUGAAGCUUUUCGGAGUGUAAACCCCUUUCGACCCGGACGAAUGCCUCGCAAGAGGACUGACGGUACGGGUAUAAGAAGCCCCGGCUAACUACGUGCCAGCAGCCGCGGUAAGACGUAGGGGGCCAGCGUUGCUCGGAAUUACUGGGUGUAAAGGGUUCGUAGGCGGUGUGGCAAGUCGGGAGUGAAAUCUCUGGGCUCAACCCAGAGUCUGCUUCCGAAACUGCUGUGCUUGAGUGUGGGAGAGGCGCGUGGAAUUGCAGGUGUAGCGGUGAAAUGCGUAGAUAUCUGCAGGAACACCCGUGGCGAAAGCGGCGCGCUGGACCACUACUGACGCUGAGGAACGAAAGCUAGGGGAGCAAACAGGAUUAGAUACCCUGGUAGUCCUAGCCCUAAACGAUCAGGACUUGGGGUGCCGCCCGUUCGGGCGUCGUCCGGAGCUAACGCGUUAAGUCUGCACCUGGGAGUACGUCGCAGACUGAAACUCAAAGGAAUUGACGGGGCCCGCACAAGCGGUGGACAUGUGGUUCAAUUCGACGCUACUC